rnacentral:RNase_P_RNA from 1 species
GGAGCUGACUGGGUAGUCGCUGCUUUGUUGAUGUCCUUCGGGAGACUGACGUUGAGGUCCUUCGGGAAACUGACGUUGACGUCCUUCGGGAGACUGACAAAGGGGAGGAAAGUCCGGGCUUCAUAGAGCAAGGUGCCAGGUAACGCCUGGGGGGCGCAAGCCUACGACAAGUGCAGCAGAGAGAAGACCGCCGAUGGCCCGCAAGGGAACAGGUAAGGGUGAAAGGGUGC